CACCUCUCGAGUUUCAACAAAACAAACCCCAAAGCCUGCAAAAGUCAUUAAAAACCGAGGAAACAACUCUGCUGCGACACUUACCUACAGGGCAAAAGGAUGCGUUCGCGUGCAAGCGAGGAAGAAGCGGAAGCACGGUGGCCGGCGUUUACCUUGAAGAAGCAAAAUCGAAUAUACUUGUCAAAGGCUUUGUUGGAUUCCUCUCCGACAAACGCAGUCACAGGAAGGCCCCCCAGUUUCUAGAGAAAUGUGGGUUAGUUAAGUGGUUGGUUGGUUAGUUAAGUGUUGUGGUGUAACGAAUUACACGGAAUGACAUUUCAUUACAAAAUUGACGUAAGCCGUUACAUUACUGGGAGAAAAUGCGUAAUUAAAUUACAGUUGCUAUUGGAGAUUUCAAUCUUGGUUCUGUUUGAAAAAUUGGCACAAUGUUCCCCCCCCCCCAGAUCACUUCCUCCUUCCAAAGCCGACGCACGUGAUUGGCUCUCUCUGGUCAUGUGCCAUUUUGCCGUAGUCUCAAACAUGACUGUGGUACAAUCUAUUAGUUCAUCUGCGAUUUUGAAAAGGUUAGACCCAUGGUGUAUAAUUAAACUUCUGAACACAUAAAAGAACAGUUUCAUCUUUAUAAUUUGGGACUUUUUUUUAUGAGUUGUCUUAUCUGAGUUGUCAUAUGAAACGCUAUUGGGUCCACAUGCUGUGCACAAAUAAUGCAACAAACACAUUUUUCAUAAUUUAUUUGCAUUUCAUCAAGUUUUUUUUAUCAGUUUAUAAUUUGUGGAAAGAAAAAAAUAAAUGGUUAGUUCCAAAAUAAUGACCUAUGGUUUUAAUCGUGUUUUUUUUUUUUUUUUUUGACGAAACAUCCAAGGGUCCUGUUGACGCAUUCAUUCAAAAGUAAGAAAAGUCAUCAGAAUGUAAUCAAAUGCAAUUAGUUAUAUUACUUUGUGAAAGUAAUUGAGGUAGUUACACUACUAUUGAAUUUUUCAACAGGGUAACUUGUAAUUGUUUAUUGUAACCAACUACAUUUCCAAAGUCGUCUUCUCAGCACUGUUGGUUAGUUAAGUUGGCUAGUUAAUUUGUCUUUAUUUGGUAGUAAGUACGCUAGUUGGUUGCUGAGUUAAUUUUUGGCUGGCUUCUUUUUUAGUUGUUAGAUUGUUGAUAGGUUAGAAGUUAGUUGUAGAGUUAGUUGGCUACUUGGCUUGUUAGUUUUUGGGUUGUUUUUUUUGUUUCUACGUUGUUGGUUGGUUAAUUAGUAAGUUUUACCAGGUGGUUAGUUAGGUAAUUAGUUACCUUAGUAUGGUAUUUAGUUGGUUUGUUAGUUGUUUGGUUGUUUAGUUAGUUAGGUGGGUAGUUAGAUGCUAGGUAUGCUAUUAGGAAGUUGUUUGGUUAUUAGGGGUAGAAGC